GAGUUUGAUCCUGGCUCAGGAUGAACGCUAGCGGCAGGCUUAACACAUGCAAGUCGAGGGGUAACAGGUUUCUUCGGAGAUGCUGACGACCGGCGCACGGGUGAGUAACGCGUAUGCAACCUACCUUUUACAGGAGGAUAGCUUCCGGAAACGGAAAUUAAUACUCCAUAGUACUAAUGAAUCACCUGGUUUAUUAGUUAAAACUCCGGUGGUAAAAGAUGGGCAUGCGUGUCAUUAGCUAGUUGGUAAGGUAACGGCUUACCAAGGCGAAGAUGACUAGGGGUUCUGAGAGGAAGAUCCCCCACACUGGUACUGAGACACGGACCAGACUCCUACGGGAGGCAGCAGUGAGGAAUAUUGGUCAAUGGGUGAGAGCCUGAACCAGCCAUGCCGCGUGAAGGAAGACUGCCCUAUGGGUUGUAAACUUCUUUUCUGCAGGAAGAAAUCACUCUACGUGUAGGGUGUUGCCGGUACUGCAGGAAUAAGCAUCGGCUAACUCCGUGCCAGCAGCCGCGGUAA
rnacentral:rRNA from 1 species